rnacentral:rRNA from 1 species
UACGUAGGGUGCGAGCGUUAAUCGGAAUUACUGGGCGUAAAGCGUGCGCAGGCGGUGAUGUAAGACAGGUGUGAAAUCCCCGGGCUUAACCUGGGAACUGCAUUUGUGACUGCAUCGCUGGAGUGCGGCAGAGGGGGAUGGAAUUCCGCGUGUAGCAGUGAAAUGCGUAGAUAUGCGGAGGAACACCGAUGGCGAAGGCAAUCCCCGUGGGCCUGCACCUGGACCGCUCAUGCACGAAAGCCGUGGGG